rnacentral:rRNA from 1 species
CACGUAGGGCGCAAGCGUUGUCCGGAAUUAUUGGGCGUAAAGAGCUCGUAGGUGGUUUGUUACGUCUGCUGUGAAAUCCUAGGGCUUAACCCUGGGCUUGCAGUGGAUACGGGCAGACUAGAGGUAGGUAGGGGAGAAUGGAAUUCCUGGUGUAGCGGUGAAAUGCGCAGAUAUCAGGAGGAACACCGGUGGCGAAGGCGGUUCUCUGGGCCUUACCUGACACUGAGGAGCGAAAGCGUGGGGAGCAAACGGG